rnacentral:rRNA from 1 species
ACCAAAAACAUAGCUAAGAAAAAAACUCAAAGUGAAACCUGCCCAGUGAUUUUAAAUAAAAUAUUAAAUUAAUUUAAAUAAAACUAAACGGACGCAGUAUAUUGACUGUGAUAAUGUAGCAUAAUCAUUCGCCAUUUAAUUGAUGGAUAGUAUGAACGGUUUAACGAAUAUUUAACUGUCUUAAAAAGAAACCCAAUAAAAUUUGAAUAAUAGUUAAGAUACUAUUUAAAAUUGUUAGACGAAAAGACCCUAUAGAGCUUAACUAAUUUCUUUUUAUUUAAAACAAGUAUAUACUUUAUAACUAGAAAGAUAGUUAGUUUAGUUGGGGUGACUACCUUCUAUUAAUAACAAAGGUAAACAAUAUUAAUAGACUAAUUUAUUGUAUAAUUUAUUAAUUUAACAAUUACCAUGGUAGGUUAUAAUGACCCGUUACUUAAACAAAAACUUAAUAACGAUACAUAAAUAAAAGCUACCUUAGGGAUAACAGAAUAAUUUUAAUUACAAGACCAUAUUUAAAUUAAAGUUUAUUACCUCGAUGUUG